ACUCCUACGGGAGGCAGCAGUGGGGAAUCUUAGACAAUGGGGGAAACCCUGAUCUAGCCAUGCCGCGUGGACGAUGAAGGCCUUAGGGUUGUAAAGUCCUUUCAGCUGGGAAGAUAAUGACGGUACCAGCAGAAGAAGCCCCGGCUAACUCCGUGCCAGCAGCCGCGGUAAUACGGAGGGGCUAGCGUUGUUCGGAAUUACUGGGCGUAAAGCGCACGUAGGCGGACUAUUAAGUCAGGGGUGAAAUCCCGGGGCUCAACCCCGGAACUGCCUUUGAUACUGGUAGUCUAGAGUUCGAGAGAGGUGAGUGGAACUCCGAGUGUAGCGGUGAAAUGCGUAGAUAUCGGAAGGAACACCAGAGGCGAAGGCGACUUACUGGCCUAGUUCUGACACUGAGGCGCGAAGGCGUGGGUAGCAAACAGGAUUAGAUACCCUGGUAGGCGUAG
rnacentral:rRNA from 1 species